rnacentral:rRNA from 1 species
CCUUCGGGUCUAGUGGCGCACGGGUGCGUAACGCGUGGGAAUCUACCCUUUGCUACGGAAUAACUCAGAGAAAUUUGUGCUAAUACCGUAUAAUGUCGCAAGACCAAAGAUUUAUCGGCAGAGGACGAGCCCGCGUAAGAUUAGCUUGUUGGUGAGGUAAAGGCUCACCAAGGCGACGAUCUUUAGCUGGUCUGAGAGGAUGAUCAGCCACACUGGGACUGAGACACGGCCCAGACUCCUACGGGAGGCAGCAGUGGGGAAUAUUGGACAAUGGGCGAAAGCCUGAUCCAGCAAUGCCGCGUGAGUGAUGAAGGCCUUAGGGUUGUAAAGCUCUUUUACCAGGGAUGAUAAUGACAGUACCUGGAGAAUAAGCUCCGGCUAACUCCGUGCCAGCAGCCGCGGUAAUACGGAGGGAGCUAGCGUUGUUCGGAAUUACUGGGCGUAAAGCGUGCGUAGGCGGUUAUUCAAGUCAGAGGUGAAAGCCUGGAGCUCAACUCCAGAACUGCCUUUGAAACUAGAUAGCUAGAAUCUUGGAGAGGUUAGUGGAAUUCCGAGUGUAGAGGUGAAAUUCGUAGAUAUUCGGAAGAACACCAGUGGCGAAGGCGACUAACUGGACAAGUAUUGACGCUGAGGUAC